GACGAACGCUUGGCGGCAGGCUUACUCAUGCACGUCGCACCAGAACGCUCUGGCUUUGCCAGGGCAAGUACAGUGGCGGACGGGUGCGUAUCGCGUAGAUAACCUGCCCUCACGCGCGGGACAAUCACGGGAAACCGUGGCUAAUACCAUCACGUCGUCUGGACCCCGCAUGGGGACCAGAUGAAAGCCUUCGGGCGCCUUUGGAUGGGUCUGCGUUGGAUUAGCUUGUUGGUGAAGUAACAGCUCACCAAGGCGACUAUCCAUAGCUGGUCUGAGAGGACGAUCAGCCACACUGGGACUGAGACACGGCCCAGACUCCUACGGGAGGCAUCAGUGGGGAAUCUUGCACAAUGGGGUCACCCCUGAUGCACCCAUGCCGCGUGGAGGAAGACACCCCUAUGGGGCGUAAACUCCUUUUCUGAAUGAACAAACCCCUGUAGGUUCAGGGCGCGACGGUAGUUCAGGAAUAAACACCGGCUAACUCCGUGCCAUCAGCCGCGGUAAUACGGACGGUGCAAGCGUUGUCCGGAAUCACUGGGUGUAAAGGGUGUGCAGGCGGGGCAGCAAGUCGGAUGUGAAACCCCAUGGCUUAACCAUGGAGGUGCAUUCGAAACUGUUGCUCUUGAGUCCCGGAGAGGCUGUCGGAAUUCGUGGUGUAGCGGUGAAAUGCGUAGAUAUCACCAGGAACACCAGAGGAGAAAGCGGACAGCUGGACGGGUACUGACGCUCAGGCACGAAAGCGUGGGGAGCAAACAGGAUUAGAUACCGUGGUAGUCCACGCUGUAAACGAUGAAUGCUAGCCGUUGCCCCGCUCAAGGAGCAGUGGCUAAGCUAACGCGUUAAGCAUUCCACAUGGGGAGUAAGAUCGCAAGGUUGAAACUCAAAGGAAUUGACGGGGGCCAGCACAAGCGGUGGAGCAUGUGGCUCAAUUCGAUGCAACGCGAAGAACCUUACGUAGGCUCGAACGCUAGAGGACCGCUCGUGAAAGGGAGCUUCCCCUUUGGGGCCUGUAGCGAGGUACUGCAUGGCUGUCGUCAGCUGGUGUCGUGAGAUGUUGGGUUAAGUCCCGCAACGAGGGUAACCCUUGUAGUUAGUUACCAGGGGGUAGUGCCGGGGACUCUAGCGAGACCGCCUGCGCAAGCAGUGAGGAAGGUGGGGAUGACGUCAAGUCAUCAUGGUCCUUACGCAUAGGGCUGCACACGUGCUACAAUAGCCGGUACAACGGGUAGCCACCUCGCGAGAGGGAGCGAAUCUAUGAAAACCGGUCCCAGUUGGGAUUGGAGUAAUGCAAGUCGACUCCAUGAAGCAGGAAUCGCUAGUAAUCUGCGGAUCAGCAAUGCCGCGGUGAAUCCGUUCCUGGGCCUCGUACACACCGCCCGUCAAGCCAUGGAAGAUGAGAGCACCAGAAGUCCGUGACUCAAAUCGGGCCGUGGGCCGGAGGGAAAGCGGAGUAAGUAUAAGCUCAGUGAAGGGGUCU
rnacentral:rRNA from 1 species